rnacentral:misc_RNA from 1 species
UCCUGGUUAACCCAGGCAGUCUCAUUAGAGUGCCCAACUUAAUGCUGGCAACUAACAAUAGGGGUUGCGCUCGUUGCGAGACUUAACCCAACAUUUCACAACACGAGCUGACGACAGCCAUGCAGCGCCUAUCUCCGAAUUCCCCGAAGGGCACUCCUCCUUCUCGGGAGGAUUCUCGGGACUUUAAGCCCAGGUAAGGUUUUGCGCGUUGCUUCGAAUUAAACCACAUAAUCCACCGCUUGUGCGGGCCCCCGUCAAUUCCUUUGAGUUUUAGUCUUGCGACCGUACUCCCCAGGCGGAGCACUUAAUGCGUUAGCUAUACCACUGCAGGAGUCAACACCCACAAUAGUUAGUGCUCAUCGUUUACGGCGUGGACUAC